rnacentral:lncRNA from 1 species
CAAAAGGGGUAUUUCUCAAAAAUUCACUUUUUUUUUCAACUUUUUUUCUUUUUUUCUUAAACAAAAAUAUAUAUCUCUUUAUUAUAAAUUUGGAAAUACAUUUAUAAAAUAAACUUUAUUAAGAGUAAAUAAUUAUAUUAGAAUGCAAAUACAUAAAUAGAUUUUAAAAAAACAAUUAGUAAUAUUUAUUAUGGAUAAAAU